CUCUGCUCGUGUUGCCAGCUGAACCAUAGUUCAGCGCCCAUUCUUCCGCUUUCUGAGAGGUAACCUUCUCAAGCAGGAUUUCUCUGGACUGGAACAUUAAGAAAAUGAAAACACCAGUAGUAUAUCCAUAAAAGAGGUCUCAGAAUGUCAGAAGUUGGUGAGAAAACUGUAAAAAAGCGGAGAAACCACGGUCUUCCCAUUCUAUGAUAAUUAAAAGCUUACUGCUCCUGCUUGCAAUCUUCAUGCACACCGAAUGCUUCCUGGGAGACCAAAGACUUCCUGCACUGCAGCACCCCGAGUUGUCUUUUUCUCAAUGAUUGGUGAAUUGCGGCUGUUCCUGCACACUUUCAGCAAGGGAGCAACUCAUCUGCUCCCUAAUCCUUUUCAAAAUGCAGAGGAAAUUGAAAAGCAGAUUCAAAUCUUGUGAAGUGUGUAA